rnacentral:rRNA from 1 species
CUUACCCACUGAACUUAAGCAUAUCAAUAAGUGGAGGAAAAGAAACUAACAAGGAUUCCCCUAGUAACUGCGAGUGAAGAGGGAAGAGCUCAAAUUUGAAAUCUGGCAGUAUUUUGCUGUCCGAGUUGUAAUCUAGAGAAGUGCUGCCCGUGCUGGACCAUGUACAAGUCUCCUGGAAUGGAGCGUCACAGAGGGUGAGAAUCCCGUCUUUGACAUGGACUCCCAGUGCAUUUGUGGUGUGCUCUCAAAGAGUCGAGUUGUUUGGGAAUGCAGCUCUAAAUGGGUGGUAAACUCCAUCUAAAGCUAAAUAUUGGCGAGAGACCGAUAGCGAACAAGUACCGUGAGGGAAAGAUGAAAAGAACUUUGGAAAGAGAGUUAAACAGUAUGUGAAAUUGUUGAAAGGGAAACGCUUAAAGUCAGUCAUGUGUCAGCCAGGGAUCAACCUAGUAUUGCUUGCUGGGUGUACUUCCUGAUCUGAUGGGCCAACAUCAGUUUCGACUGCUGGAGAAGGGUAGAGGGGAAUGUGGCACCUUUUUUGGUGUGUUAUAGCUCUCUGUCAGAUGCAGUGGUCAGGACUGAGGAAGGCAGCAUGCCCACAAAGGGCCGGGUUUCGACCACGUUCAUGCUGAGGAUGUUGGCAUAAUGGCUUUAAUCGACCCGUCUUGAAACACGGACCAAGGAGUCUAACAUGCCUGCAAGUGUUUGGGUGUUUAAACCCAAGUGCAGAAUGAAAGUGAAAGGUUGAGAUCCCCUGCCAUACGGGGGGGAGCAUCGACGCCCAGACCUGAACUUUUCAGUAAAGGAUCUGCGGUAGAGCAUGUAUGUUAGGACCCGAAAGAUGGUGAACUAUGCCUGAA